UACCGAAGGCCGGGCAACCGGUCACUGAAGGAUGGGCCUGCGUCUGAUUAGCUGGUUGGUGGGGUAACGGCCCACCAAGGCGACGAUCAGUAGCCGGUCUGAGAGGAUGAACGGCCACAUUGGGACUGAGACACGGCCCAAACUCCUACGGGAGGCAGCAGUGGGGAAUCUUCCGCAAUGGGCGCAAGCCUGACGGAGCAACGCCGCGUGAGUGAAGAAGGUUUUCGGAUCGUAAAGCUCUGUUGAGAGGGACGAGAGGCAAGGCUAGGAAAUGAGCUUUGUAGGACGGUACCUUUCGAGGAAGCCACGGCUAACUACGUGCCAGCAGCCGCGGUAAUACGUAGGUGGCGAGCGUUGUCCGGAAUUAUUGGGCGUAAAGGGAGCGCAGGUGGGAAAGUAAGUCAGUCUUAAAAGUGCGGGGCUCAACCCCGUGAGGGGAUUGAAACUACUUUUCUUGAGUGCAGGAGAGGAAAGCGGAAUUCCUAGUGUAGCGGUGAAAUGCGUAGAUAUUAGGAGGAACACCAGUGGCGAAGGCGGCUUUCUGGACUGUAACUGACACUGAGGCUCGAAAGC
rnacentral:rRNA from 1 species